rnacentral:rRNA from 1 species
UGGCGAACGGGUGAGUAACGCAUGAGGAACCUGCCUCAAAGAGGGGGACAACAGUUGGAAACGACUGCUAAUACCGCAUAAGCCCACGACCCGGCAUCGGGAAGAGGGAAAAGGAGCAAUCCGCUUUGAGAUGGCCUCGCGUCCGAUUAGCUAGUUGGUGAGGUAACGGCCCACCAAGGCGACGAUCGGUAGCCGGACUGAGAGGUUGAACGGCCACAUUGGGACUGAGACACGGCCCAG